rnacentral:rRNA from 1 species
GACGAACGCUGGCGGCGUGCUUAUCACAUGCAAGUCGAACGGAAAGGCCCUGCUUUUGUGGGGUGCUCGAGUGGCGAACGGGUGAGUAACACGUGAGUAACCUGCCCUUGACUUUGGGAUAACUUCAGGAAACUGGGGCUAAUACCGGAUAGGAGCUCCUGCUGCAUGGUGGGGGUUGGAAAGUUUCGGCGGUUGGGGAUGGACUCGCGGCUUAUCAGCUUGUUGGUGGGGUAGUGGCUUACCAAGGCUUUGACGGGUAGCCGGCCUGAGAGGGUGACCGGCCACAUUGGGACUGAGGUACGGCCCAGACUCCUACGGGAGGCAGCAGUGGGGAAUAUUGCACAAUGGGCGGAAGCCUUAUGCAGCAACGCCGCGUGCGGGAUGACGGCCUUCGGGUUGUAAACCGCUUUCGCCUGUGACGAAGCGUGAGUGACGGUAAUGGGUAAAGAAGCACCGGCUAACUACGUG